AGAAGGCAAGGCUGGAGCCCAGACACAGCAGCUCCCCAGGUGUGAUGGGUGGCGCAUCCAUCAUCUCAGGCUCUGGCAGUACGCCUGCAAGACAUCUCCCACUCCCCUCUCUUGCUCCCUCGGGAUUUCUCACCUCCUGCUCCUGUCCCUCGAGAUGUCUCACCACCUACACACUCCCCGGCCUCUGAGUCACCCCUUGCUCCGGAUCACAGCUCUGCCCCCACCCUGACACUGUGAAGCACCCGGAGCCGCCAAUGUGAGUGGAAACUGCUUUUAAUCGUUAAAUAAAUUCAGCGACAGCCACCCA